rnacentral:rRNA from 2 species
CAUGCGCUCUAUCUGCAGUCGAGCGAACUGAUUAGAAGCUUGCUUCUAUGACGUUAGCGGCGGACGGGUGAGUAACACGUGGGCAACCUGCCUGUAAGACUGGGAUAACUUCGGGAAACCGAAGCUAAUACCGGAUAGGAUCUUCUCCUUCAUGGGAGAUGAUUGAAAGAUGGUUUCGGCUAUCACUUACAGAUGGGCCCGCGGUGCAUUAGCUAGUUGGUGAGGUAACGGCUCACCAAGGCAACGAUGCAUAGCCGACCUGAGAGGGUGAUCGGCCACACUGGGACUGAGACACGGCCCAGACUCCUACGGGAGGCAGCAGUAGGGAAUCUUCCGCAAUGGACGAAAGUCUGACGGAGCAACGCCGCGUGAGUGAUGAAGGCUUUCGGGUCGUAAAACUCUGUUGUUAGGGAAGAACAAGUACGAGAGUAACUGCUCGUACCUUGACGGUACCUAACCAGAAAGCCACGGCUAACUACGUGCCAGCAGCCGCGGUAAUACGUAGGUGGCAAGCGUUAUCCGGAAUUAUUGGGCGUAAAGCGCGCGCAGGCGGUUUCUUAAGUCUGAUGUGAAAGCCCACGGCUCAACCGUGGAGGGUCAUUGGAAACUGGGGAACUUGAGUGCAGAAGAGAAAAGCGGAAUUCCACGUGUAGCGGUGAAAUGCGUAGAGAUGUGGAGGAACACCAGUGGCGAAGGCGGCUUUUUGGUCUGUAACUGACGCUGAGGCGCGAAAGCGUGGGGAGCAAACAGGAUUAGAUACCCUGGUAGUCCACGCCGUAAACGAUGAGUGCUAAGUGUUAGAGGGUUUCCGCCCUUUAGUGCUGCAGCUAACGCAUUAAGCACUCCGCCUGGGGAGUACGGUCGCAAGACUGAAACUCAAAGGAAUUGACGGGGGCCCGCACAAGCGGUGGAGCAUGUGGGUUUAAUUUCGAAGCAACGCGAGAACCCUUACCAGGUCUUGACAUCCUCUGACAACUCUAGAGAUAGAGCGUCCCCUUUCGGGGGACAGAGUGACAGUGGUGCAUGUUGUCGUCAGCUCGUGUCGUGAGAUGUUGGGUUAGUCCCGCACGAGCGCAACCAUGAUCUAGUUGGCAGCAUUAGUGGCACCUCUAGGUGAACUGCGUGACACGGAGGAGGUGGGAUGACGUCAUCAUCAUGGCCCUAGACUGGCUACCACGUGCUUACAUGGAUGGCUACAG